ACGCUCGACACCUACGGGAGGCGGCAGUGGGGAAUAUUGCACAAUGGGGGAAACCCUGAUGCAGCGACGCCGCGUGGAGGAAGAAGGUCUUCGGAUUGUAAACUCCUGUUGUUGGGGAAAAAGAGGAUGGUACCCAACAAGGAAGUGACGGCUAACUACGUGCAGCAGCCGCGGUAAUCUGAGGCGGGCGUGGGACGAAAGGC
rnacentral:rRNA from 1 species